UAGCUUCUAAACCUGGAAGAGUUGUUUUGCAAGUUAAGUCAUCAUGUUAGCUUUGGGUGCUUAUAUAAUGAAUAAAUAUUUAAAUAUUUUGCCACGAUUUUAUUAUUUUUAAAUUUUGAUAUUGCGAUGGUCAUAGAAUGGAGGCUGGUCUCCAUACAGAAGUCAAUAUUAUUCAUACAUGUUUUUUUGUAAAACCUAGUGUUAGGCCGGAGACAUAUCACUUGACGAAUCCCAUAGGUGAUAGGUGUUGAGAACUGCCUCAAAUGAUUAAUAGUGCUCGAUCGAGUUAUUUCCACUUUUUUGUCAUUUUGGAAAAUCACGUAAAAAUCAUAAAUCUUAACAGGAUCUUCAAGUGGAAAUUUGUUUAUUACAAGAAAAAUACUACACUAAAAUUUCAUCCCAAUUUAUAACCAGAAGAAAAAAAACUCGCCCUAACAGGUUAACAUCUUUUCAUUGCGCGCCCACUUUUUUUUUUGUGAAACAAUCCCCCUAUAUAUUUGGUACAAGGAAUUUGCACAGAGAAUCAUUGUUAUGACGACAGAGUUCCCAUAUUUAUUUGAAAAAUACUCUAUUUGUGAUUUAAAUUUUGAAAAAUACAUUUUUAUUUUUAUUUUUUGAAAACUACAUUUUGUUUUAUGUGAUAAGACACUUUUGUCCUGGUGUUAACUAGAUAUUGAAAAUUUUAAUAAUUAAUUCUAAAAUCUUAAAAGCAUACAAUUCGAACAUUUUAAGAAUGGUGAAAAAGCACAUGAAAAAUUAUCUACAAGAGUUUAUAUUCACUUUCCAUGUGCCCAAAACUCACAUAAUAUUAUCUCUUCUCUCAAAUUGUUUUGUGCUAUGCUAGUCAGAGCAAAAAUUUAAAGUAAAGAAUAAAAUUUUAUAAAGAAAUAUAUCAACACAUUGUUUGAUUCUCAGAUUUUUGUCUGGGUUGUUUCAUAUGUGUGUAUAUCAAAACAAAAGCAAUCUUUAGAUCAAACAAAAGAUCAUUUAGUUAUUUGGAAACAGUAUCAUUGACUGAUUGUUUUUUUUUGUUUAUAAAAGAUCCUAUGAACAAUUAUGUUAUUGCUAACUGUGAUGAAACGUCGAAGAGUUUGUUUAGGAAGCAGUGAGUAGAAGCAAAUUAACUAUCUUAUAUUAUAAAGAUAAGAGCAUUGUCGAAAAGAACAAAAUCCAUUGUUUUCUGUUUUAAAUUUAUGAAAUGUUAGAUUUGUUUUAAAACAUUUUUUAAACGCAUUGUUUUCUGUAUUAAAAUAAAAUAGUAAUUUAGAUAUUAGUUAACUAUAAAGAUUUAAAAAUGGAUAGUUUAGUCAUUUCAAUUAUAAAUAAAUGUAGUUUUCAAAAUAAAAUGAAAAAGGCCUAAUUUUCAAAAUAUAAUCUCACUUAGAAGUAUUUUUUCAAAUUUUCCCUUUAUUUUUUUAUAAAGAAUUGUUCAUGUCAAGAAAUGACUUAUAUAUAUAUAUAUAUAUAUAUAUAUAUAUAGUCACUACAUUUUAAUCUUGGAGGACUAGAGACUGGAUUUGUCUGAACAAAAAAUAAAUGUAAUUGUUGACCAAUGAGUGACACUUAGUUGAGUAUAGGUAACAUUGCAGCAAAUACAUAAACUUUAUGUGAAUCGAUAAUAUAAGUGUGUGAAGAAAGCUGCAUGUGAAUAAUAAUAAUAAUUAGUGUCACCAAUGCAAAUAAUAAUAAUAUCAUUUAUGACUUUAUUAUUAUAAGAAUAAUAAUAACAUUUAUUAUUUUGUUAAAUAUUUGAUUGGGCCUCAAUAAACGUAAUUUAUUUUCUUCUCGAAACUAACGUUAUAUUGACCCGUUAUAUAUGUUUACUUAUUUAAAUAGGACCGUUGUAAUUGAUCCGUAAUUGAAAAGGCUGAAUAAACAUCGAACGAACACAAAUUACUUUAAAAAUAAGACCGCUGUAAUAGACCUGUUAGUAAAAAGAUUAAUAAACAUCGAACGAAUACAAAUUACUUAAAAAAUAAGACCGUUGUAAAUGAAAAUGAGCCGUUGGGCGCUCCUCUAUAUAAGAAGAGCUCUUCUUGCCUUCUUUCACCAUAAACCUCUCAUCCUCUCAAUUAUUCUCACAGACUCUUUGCGAAGAGACAAGUAAAAUAAAAGACCAACAAGAGUUAAAGACUCUGUCGGAGAAAGAAGACUCUGUAGGAGAAAGACAUAAUGGCGACAAGAUUCAAACAAACAUGCCUGAUCAAGUCGGAGGUGGCGGAUGAUGUGAAGAAUAGUCGUGCGCUCGGUGACAUCGGAGAGAGGAAGCCAAAAUCCAACCGACUCCAACGGUCAGAUCUGUCUUUUUUUUUUAAUUUUAUGUGUGUUUUUCCAUCAACAUUAACAUUGUCGUGUAUGAAUCGAAAACAAAUCGUGAUGAUAUGUAUUUUUUUUGGAAGUCUGUGAAACAGGAGGCCGCGCUUAUGGUUUAAAGAUGCUGCAUAUGGGAAGAAUCGCCGGAGCUGACCAGAACCGAGAGAGAGAGAGGGAGGAAGCCACACUCCCACCGACUCCAACGGGAACACGAGGUCAUCGAGAUCCAUUCACAAUCACCAACCUCCUCCUUUAGAUUAUAUUCCAGACUCACAAUUUUACAAGGUGGAAGCUCCUUUAAGUCUUGUGGUUAGUAUUAUAUCUGAGAACGCUUAGAACCAAUGUGUAGAACGUCGCUUGCUUUCACCUUUAGCUCGAAGUUCUGCUAAUAAUAAAUGAAUGGAGAAGUCUUGUGUGUUUAGUUUCCUGUUGAAUCGAUCUAGAUGUGUGUUUUAACUGUACAUGAAUUAUGCAUCUGUACAGUUAUAACAUCUGUCCUGGUUCUUGAAAAGAAAGAGAUCAAGUCCUUUUUGUCCUGAAACCAUUAAGCUUAGUUACAUGGUUUUGAGUUUGAUCCGCAAAACAUGUUCUAAUCCAAAUUGAUAUUAUAAUAAGUGUAUAUAGUAGUUUAUAGUAGUUUUCUUUAGCAUCUACGCAAAGUUCAAGCUGCGAAUCAGAAAAACACUAACCAUGUCGAGAAAACAUGUAAGAGAUAGAUUCAUUUUGAGAUGGUAAAAUAUAAGAAAGUUAGGACCUAAUACUAUAUCACUAGAGGAGCUAAAAGAUAGAAGCAAAGGGAUACCUUGUGAAAGACACUGUUGUUCUUGAAGCUGUUAUACUUUGUGUCUCUCAGAGACUAAGUUGGUCGAGUCCACUAUCUAGAUACUUUUCUUCUCUUCAAAAAUCUGAAAAUUUGUGUUAAUCACCAAAGGUCUACAAGAUUCAUAAUUCGUUUUUAACAAUGAUGUGGAAACCAUAUAACACAUAUCCCAAAAUUCUACAAUCAUCGACACAAAGUGCCUAGGAAAGUCAAACAAGAAGGAUAACUCCAUGUUCCAACACAGUGUUCCAAUACUAACCAAAACCAAUUAAACCAA